rnacentral:rRNA from 1 species
CAGCAGCCACGGUAAUGCGUAGGGUGCGAGCGUUAAUCGGAAUUACUGGGCGUAAAGCGUGCGCAGGCGGUUAUAUAAGACAGAUGUGAAAUCCCCGGGCUCAACCUGGGACCUGCAUUUGUGACUGUAUAGCUAGAGUACGGUAGAGGGGGAUGGAAUUCCGCGUGUAGCAGUGAAAUGCGUAGAUAUGCGGAGGAACACCGAUGGCGAAGGCAAUCCCCUGGACCUGUACUGACGCUCAUGCACGAAAGCGUGGGGAGCAAACAGGAUUAGAUACCCCAGUAGUCCCUGUCUCUUAUAC